rnacentral:hammerhead_ribozyme from 1 species
AUUCAGCUGACGAGUCCCAAAUAGGACGAAACGUGCGUCCUGUAU